CGAGGGAGAGCCUCCUCCUCACAGCACAGGCUUUGCGGGGACGCUGGUAUUCCUGCAAUGAGAAAAACUGAAGGGAGCUGCAAAUGUAUCAUCAACAGAUCCCAAGGCUACAGCUUGGGGCCUGAGUUGGUUGCUGCUUUGCCUGUCCCUCACUCAGAUAAAGAACACAGCCUGCUGUGGGGCAUGUCAGAAGUGCCAAGUGAGAGGUUGCAGUUGUUCCUGACAUUGUGUUGCCUUCUUGUCCAACUUUGGCUCUGGACUGAUGGAAGCUAGGAGAAGUUGUUAGAACAGAUACAGCAGCCCUGUGAC